AGAAUAUUAUUAUAAUAUAUAUUUCUCAGCCGAUUAAAUUUAACAUAUAUAAAAUAAUUUUUAUAAUUAGAAAAAAUAAAUAUGAUAAAAAACUAAAAUUUAAUUUAAAUGAUAUUUUAAUAUAAAAUACAUAAGUAACUAAGUUAUACAAAGCAAAGAAUCUUUGCUUUACUCUGUUGUUUUAAAUUGUUGGCUGUAGAAAUUUUUGUUGUUAAAACUAUAAAUACUAUUUUAAAUAUUUACAAAAAUAUGAUUUAUGAUAAAAAUAUUUAAAAUAUAAUUAUUAUUUUUAUUAUUACACAAUAAAUAUAAAAUUAUACAAUAAUAAAUAGAAACAUAUCAAACAAAAGUGUAUGAUAGGGAAAAAUAAAAGAAUGGUUAAUUUAUCUCACAAUAUUUAUGAUAAAAAUGUAUAUAGACUAAAAUAAGUGUUUUAGUUAUUACUGAAAAAAUGAAAAGAUAUUUUGCAAAAAUAAAUAAAAUGAACCUUUUGUUUUCAAAAUCACCUAAAUAAAGCGGUAGAAAAUUCAAUGAAAAGGAGAAAGGGAAAUGAAAAUUUGUGAAAACCAUAGAACUUUAAAAACAUAAAGACAAGCAAAAAUGAAAAAAAAAA
rnacentral:lncRNA from 1 species